UCUCUCUGCACAUUCAUGUUUGAGAAUGCUAGUUUUCUUUUGUAACUUUUACCAGGGAGUCCUUGCAAUAUUGCUUUGGUCUGGGGAAGUAGUGCUAUUUAUCUAAUUAUAAAGACCUUCAUUUUCAUUGGGCAGGGUGCAUCUGGGAGUUAAGAAUGGCAAAUGCCAAACCGUGUGUCUGCGGGUGUGAGGCUGAGGAUCGUACUUUCCACCUAUAGGCACAGGUGGAGGCUGCAUCAUCACUCGAGCCUGUCGGCCCCAUUCACUCAGGCUUCCCAUGUGCCCACUCCACAGUAAAUUGUUUCCUGUUUGGCAGCACUUCUUGCACUUCAAAGAAUUUGCCAGAAGAGUCCAGACCUAGGUACCUGCCCAGUUCCUUAGAGGGGACUCAGAUCCCUGCAAGGGUAUAGCCUUUGGUGAGUCCCAGUCCUGAGCCUUGCUCACUUGACCCUCUUCUGGGGCUGGGGACAAUGAAUACGUGUGUUCCAAAGGUGUAAAUUCUUGCUCUGCCCUCACCAGGGAUGUGACUCUGGGCAGGCUUCUUGAUCUCUUGAAGUCUCAACUAUAAAAUGAGGUUAAUAAUACUCACCAAACUCAGAACCUGGAUUUGCUGGAAGCACAGAGAGAGAGAAAAGAAGAAUAGGAAGGAAGGAAGGAAGAAGGGAAGGAAGGAAGGAAAGAAGGAGAAGGAGGAGGAGAAGGAGAAGGAGGAGGAGAAGAAGAAGAAGAAAAAGAAAAAGAAGAAGAAGGAGAAGGAAGAAGAAGAAGAAGAAGGAGGAGGAGGAAGAGGAGGAGGAGGGGAAGAAGAAGAAGGAGGGGAAGAGGAAGGAGAAGGAGGGGAAGGGGAAGGAGAAGGAGAAGAGGAAGAGGAAGAAGAAGAAGAAAGAGGAAGAAGAAGAAGAAGAAAGCGGGAAGAGGAGGAGAAGGUGUAGAGGA
rnacentral:lncRNA from 1 species